UCUGUGUACUCUGGUGCCAAGUAUCCAAAUGUGCCAACUACAUUGCUUUCCGACAAAGAACAAGACUGAUCUGGUUGUUUUCUUGAAAGCCCAAAAUCUCCCAGCUGAUGCAUCCAGCAGAAAUAGAGAUUCAAAUUAUAUAAUUCAAACCUGCUGCCGUUCCCAGCAAUAUCUUCAUCCUGUGUUCCCAACUCAAAAUAUAUGGGCUGCUUUCUGCAGGAAAAAAUGUGUUUGUACAGGUUAAUGCUAUGAUCUUGUGGAAUCACCAAAGUCAAGUGAACAGGGGAGCAGGUGCAUCAACAUAUCAAAGAAAAGGGUGGCUUACCUCCUGGCGAUAUGUCCACACUGAAAAGAUCAUCAUCAUCAUAAUCAUCAUCAUCAUCAGUAAAUUCAAGUACAAUAUUAGAGGCUAGUGGCUCUAUCUCUGUCCCUGUUAUCAUCUCAUUGUACCUUAUGAUCUUGCUUACAUUUUCAUUUGAAAAUUCAUCAUUUCUUUGGUUUACUUUCGGCUCCCUUAAGAGUUCGACGCAACUGUUGCGUUUCAUCCUAUAUAUGCCACAAGAUAGCCUUUCCAUGAAAUAGUUCUUGUCUUUUUUCAUCUGCCUGUUGCCAAAAAAAAGAGUCAAGUUUUCAAACUGCAAAUGUAAAACCAAUAGCAUUCUAAUGAAUAAAUCCAUAAAAGGUUUUUUUGUUGAUCUUUAAGACUACUACGUGUGGGAAAAGUCACUGAUCUCGAGAGUAUUUGGUAAAGUAGAAUAAUUUUUGUUUGUGGGAGCUUCUUUGGGUUUCAGCAAGAAGACUAUGCUUGCAAUUGUCAAUGCUAAUACAGCCUUUUACCUUUAGUGCAUGAGUCCAUUAUUAUGUUUCUUUUCCCUUUUCUUUUGGUGCAUCAAUGCCCACUUCUGAAAUGUAAUGAACUAAAGCUUACAUAAAUAGACUUAGUUAUCACUUUUCAUACCAAGAAGAAAUGUAUCAUUUUGUCUAACCUGUCAAGGAUUAUCCAUGUUGCCUUCAGCCUAUUGGCAGCUUUAAGAGCAGCUUCUUUUGGUGAAGAUUCUGCAACCACACUUAUGCUAAACCCAAUCUGACAUCCCCACAACAAAACAAUUGAUUGUUAGCAACCUUUUCUUCUCAAAUUUGACUGCUUGUGGAUUGUCGCAACUGAAUCUUGAAUCACGAAUGUUGCACAACAGUUGAUCCUCAUGUCAGAAUUACUUCUUAAAGACUUCAGAUAGCAUCUAAUCAUGAACACAUUGAUGUAAACAUUUAAUUUUACCAUGGUGAUGUACCUUCUUUGAUUCAUAGAGCUGGCUAAUAUUCAAGUUCUCUGCACUGUUCCGAUACUCUUCCUCCCUCCUUGCAACUUCCUGUCUGAUGAUAUCACUGUUUGCUGCCAACAUGGAGUUUGAGUCUACACUGCUUUUGUAUCCCACUGAAACCAAAAGAAACUUUAAAGCUAAUGAGAGGUAGACCAAUUCAUGUAUUGAAAAAGCUCAGUUGAUAGAUUUUUCGGUUUACCACUGUUUCUUUGGUUUUCUUUUCUAAAGACAAGUGCUUGUGUGUUCUUACUUAAUUUCCUAGCUCUCAGGAAAGACAACGUACUGGGGGUAUUAAACUGGUGAAGAACUCCAAAGAGUGUGAGUUCAUCACCAGGUUGAAGGGAAAGGCCAUCAAUGGCCCAUUUGAUCGCGCUGGAACUGAUCUCUUUCGAUGCAUCCUGGAUCACCACCACCCUCUGAAUCGCAGUGGACACAAUGCUACUUCCAGUUUUUGGAGCACUCAUCAUUCGAAGAUUUAGCAACCAAGAUGAACAACACCGAAAAGGAUCUCUACUAUGAACUCAUAAUUUUCUUGGGAAAACCUGUCUACUUCAGAAUAACGGUAGCAAAUUUGAUGGAGACAUUAACCGAGAUCAUGCCCAGUAAAAUGGUUUCUGAAAACUUGGAGAGAUUCCAGUACAAAUUAGCUAGAAAAUAUUGGAGGGACUUGAAGAACAACUUCUAGUGAGCUCAAAGGUUAUGAUGCCAGGAUAUUCUACUCCAGAAUUUAAGAAAAUUAGACAUACUCUGUUAUACUAAGCAAUCUGCAGAAGAGAAACAAAAGAAAAAGAGUUUGAUUCAAUGAAACUAAUUAGGCUAUGAGCAACUUCGUAUACUCAGAUCUUGAGAGCUAAGAGUUGAUCCAAGGAUGCAUCUUAGAUCCUAGCUCAAGCGCAUAUUCGGAUAUCCAAAGGUUUGGGAUCUCAACUCCUCAUUUAAUAUUUAUGAGCCACAAGUUCUGCCAGAAGACAAAAAAUUACGCGGACAUUCCAAGGUUGGCAAGCAUUUUAAAAGCUCACCUUGUAGCUUACAAGUCAUUUUCAUCUGGAUGUCAAACAAUACAGUGUGGUUGGAAGGAAUCGAAGGUUAAGAAUCUGGAAAUGUUGCAGUUUCUUCUGAUUCAGUAUGAUUCCCGGACUGUGAAGUGAGAGUCUGAGGCAGACGCUUUACUCAUUCAAGCAACUCAUCUUGUUGACUACUAGAUUUAAAAGAGAAGCGGCAAGUAAAGAACUGCUUUUGCAGAGCUGCUACAGUGGAUGGCCUGAAGCAGGUCAGUAAGGUUACAAGUCUUCAUUACUAUGGUAGUAGAAUCUUCAGUGAAAAUUUCUAUUUGAUGUAUGACAAUUUGAGAUGGGCAGCAUAUGAGGUCAGUAUCUUCGUCAUCUUUUUCCAACUCCAAUGAGAAUUCCUUGGUGGCAUCAACUACGACUACAGGACAAGCAACUAAAGACAGGAUGUUCCAAGAUUGAACUUGAUGGAUUAUCAAGAAAACCCCAUUUGUCUCUUUCUCCCAUGAUUUGAUUGCUUGGAGCUGAUUCCAGCAUUUUACUUAUCACAAUGCAUUUGCCCCUCGUAGCUUUGAUAUGGCAUAUGUAUCCCUUCAAUUCAAUUAAAUUAAUACAAUAUCAUCAUGACCCACAUUAUAUAUACAUAUAUGACAUAUUAAGGAAAUUU